rnacentral:rRNA from 1 species
UCUGGGAUUAGAUACCCCACUAUAUUAUCUUAAAAAAUUUAAAACACCAGAGUAGUAUAACUUAUUAAACUUAAAACUCAAAGAACUUGGCGGUUUUCUAAGUCUAUUUGGAGGAGUUUGUUAUUUAAUCGAUACCCCACGAGUUACCUCACCAGAUUUUUGAUUAUUCAGCCUGUAUAUUUUCGUCACCGUUAACCUUCAAGAACGUUAACCAAAAGGAAUAUUCCCAUAACUCAGAUCAAGAUGCAGCCUAUAAACUGGCUAUAAAUGAGCUACCCUACUUUCCAAUCGAGGAUUUUUUAACUAAAAUAAAAAGAAAAAAGGAUUCAAUAGUAAUUUUUUAAAGAAAAAACUAAUAAAAUAAGCCCUAGAAUACGUACACACCGCCCGUCACCCUCCUCAA